UACGAACCGUACAAACGUUAUUCGGAAUCACUGGGCUUAAAGGGUGCGUAGGCGGCCAUGUAAGUGAGAUGUGAAAUCCCUCGGCUCAACCGAGGAAGUGCAUUUCAUACUGCAUGGCUUGAGGGAGACAGGGGUAAGCGGAACUGAUGGUGGAGCGGUGAAAUGCGUUGAUAUCAUCAGGAACACCGGUGGCGAAAGCGGCUUACUGGGUCUCUUCUGACGCUGAGGUACGGAAAGCUAGGGGAGCGAACGGG
rnacentral:rRNA from 1 species